ACACGUAGGGGCCUGACGUUGUUCGGAAUCAUUGGGCGUAAAGGGCGCGCAGGCGGCCGUCCAAGUCCGGUGUUAAAUGGUCGGGCUCAACCCGAUCAUGCGCUGGAAACUGGGCGGCUUGAGUCCCGUAGGGGAUGCCGGAAUUCCAGGUGUAGGGGGGAAAUCUGUAGAUAUCUGGAAGAACACCGAUGGCGAAGGCAGGCAUCUGGCCGGAGACUGACGCUGAGGCGCGAAGGCGCGGGGAGCGAACAGGUUUAGAUACCCUGGUAGUCCGCGCAGUAAACGAUGCGCACCAGGUGUCGGGCGGCAGCGCCCGGUACCGGAGCUAACGCGAUGAGUGCGCCGCCUGGGGAGUAUGCCCGCAAGGGUGAAACUCAAAUGAAUUGGCGGGG
rnacentral:rRNA from 1 species